rnacentral:rRNA from 1 species
AUUGAACGCUGGCGGCAGGCCUAACACAUGCAAGUCGAGCGGUAGAGAGGUGCUUGCAUCUCUUGAGAGCGGCGGACGGGUGAGUAAUGCCUAGGAAUCUGCCUAGUGGUGGGGGAUAACGUUCGGAAACGGACGCUAAUACCGCAUACGUCCUACGGGAGAAAGCGGGGGAUCUUCGGACCUCGCGCCAUUAGAUGAGCCUAGGUCGGAUUAGCUAGUUGGUGAGGUAAUGGCUCACCAAGGCGACGAUCCGUAACUGGUCCGAGAGGAUGAUCAGUCACACUGGAACUGAGACACGGUCCAGACUCCUACGGGAGGCAGCAGUGGGGAAUAUUGGACAAUGGGCGAAAGCCUGAUCCAGCAAUGCCGCGUGCAGGAAGAAGGCCUUCGGUU